AUGAGAACUCAAGGUGAAUCCCGUUCGUAGCAGGGACACGGCCUCUAACAGUCUUCUCAGGAUUCCCGUGUGAGUUACUUGCCCUGCUUCUGUGUUGAGAUCUAAAAUGAAUAAUCCGAGAUCCAGGGGCAGCCGGGGGCAGUUCCCCCUGUGGUCCCUACCUAAGCCCUCAGCAGAGAUCUCUGGGUCCGCUUGCCUCUCCUUAGACAUGGGCUUCUGAUUCUGCCCAGGGUCUCAAGGUAGUCUGAGGCAAGGACCAGAGCUUCCGUCGCACCUGUGUUCAUUCAGGUUCUCGUUAUAAGGGUCACCAGCUGAUGCUGGAGAAGUCACUACCAUAGCAGAGGCUCUUCUUGGGAAUGGACAGGAGGCGAAGGCCCUGGUCCGUUAGUCUGGGGAUGUUGGAAACAGUCUCUUGCCUUGCAGCAUGUCGGUGCCUCAGGCCAUGGAGUGGCUAAUUGAACACGCAGAAGACCCGACCAUAGACACACCUCUUCCUGGCCAAGCUCCCACAGAGGCCGAGGGGGCCACAGCAGCUGCCUCCGAGGCUGCCGCAGGAGCCAGCGCCACUGAUGAGGAGGCCAGAGAUGAGCUAACGGAAAUCUUCAAGAAGAUCCGGAGGAAAAGGGAGUUUCGGGCUGAUGCUCGGGGAGCCAAGUUUACAUCUGAUCCUGGAAGCCUGUCCAAGUGGAGCAGUCACUCUCCAGCUGGGUCCCUUGUGCUCUGAGGUUGGACUUCGCACUCUCCUGUGUUGUGGUCCUGCACGGUCUCUUGGAGGCCGUCAUUUCCCUGAUGGAGAUGGGGUUCGACGAGAAGGAGGUGAUAGACGCCCUCAGAGUGAACAACAACCAGCAGAAUGCCGCGUGCGAGUGGCUGCUGGGGGAC
rnacentral:sRNA from 1 species